CAGUUUGGUUUAAACUGUCGGGAUCUUAGUGUCACGUGUACCUCCGUAGAGAACGGAGUUGAGAUAUCCGACAGUGCCGGAGAAACCACCGGAGAGACGGGACGAAGAAUCUUAAUACUCUUGUUUUUUUAGAACAUUCAUUCAAAGGUUUGAGUUUGCCGACUACUCUGAGUAUACCUGGAGACCUGGAGCUCCCUCCAGCAUUGUUUGUCUAUAUCUGGAAGGAAAUGAUACACCCUGGAGUUAAACUAAACCAUCACUAGAAUGGAAAACUAUAAAGAAGAAAGAGAGAAUUGAGAGAAGAAAAAUCUCCUCUGUUACAGAUGAGUUUGGUUUGAAGAUCUAGGCGUAGCUGGAUAUAGAAUGGGUGUGUCUGUUUACACCCUGAUCCUGCUGAGCUUGCUAGGGCGUGGCCACGGGGGUGGGUGGAACCAGGGGGAGGCAAAGGUGUCUAUAGACUAUGUGCACGGUCCCCUGGUGGAGAGUGUGAGAAGGUUUCGGGGGAACUCAACCAUCUCCGACAACUUCAAGAUCGUUGUGGAGGACGGAACAGCGCUUUACGUCGGUGGAACGAAUAAUAUUUAUAUACUGAACUCUAAGGAUUUGAAGGAACAUGAAAAACUGAGAAUAUCCUGGCCUCCGGAUACUAAAGAUUCUGAACUCUGCAGCAUCAAGGGUAAAACAAGGGUUCAGUGUCAGAACUAUAUCCGUGUGAUCGCUAAGACUGAUGAGAAUAGGAUUUUAAUCUGUGGAACCCAUUCAUUCAAACCUCGUUGUAGAUACUACAAAUACAAGAAUGGAUCCUACUCUGUGGAUCAGGAGUUUGAUGGGAAAGGAUUGACUCCUUAUGAUCCUGGUCACAAUUCCUCAUAUCUUCUUGCAGGUGGAGAACUAUAUACAGCUACGGUUUCUGAUUUCUCUGGGUCGGAUCCACUCAUCUACAAGGAACCUUUGAGAACGGAGCAGUACGAUUCAAAAAUACUAAAUGCUCCUGAUUUUGUUCGAACCCUGGAGGACGAGGAUUACGUUUACUUUUUCUUCAGAGAACAAGCAGUGGAGUACAUCAACUGUGGGAAGAGCGUGUAUAGCCGAGUAGGGCGUGUCUGUAAGAAGGAUCGAGGUGGUGGGAACAAGUUUAAAGCAAGAUGGACGACCUAUCUAAAAUCUAGAUUAAACUGUUCUAUCAGCGGAGAAUAUCCUUUCUACUUCAAUCAUCUUCAGUCUGUAAGUGGAAUUAUUGAUGGAACAUAUAUGGGAGAGAAGACGAGAAUAAUAUAUGCUGUGUUCACUACUCCAGAGAACGCAAUCGGUGGCAAUGCCAUUUGCGCAUUCCAGAUGAAGGAUAUUUUGAAAACGUUUGAUGGAGCGUUUAAGGAGCAGGAGACUGCUAACUCUAAUUGGCUCCCUAUACGGGAUAUGAAGGUUCCGGAUCCAAGGCCAGGGCAAUGUUCAGAGGAUUCUCAGAAGCUGCCUGAGAACAGCCUAAGAUUUAUCCAGGAUCAUAGUAUCAUGGAUGAAUCCGUCCCGGCAUUCUUCGGAGGAAACCCUAUCUACGUCCGAGCUAACAUACAAUAUCCGAGUCAAUUUAGAGAGAUUGCAAUCCAUCCUGGAGUGAAGACCACCGACGGGAUGGUCUAUGACGUCAUGUUUGUCGGGACGGAUCGCGGUCAAGUUCUCAAGAUGAUCAACUCCGUGGAUCAAAAGGGAUCGAAACCGAUCCUGAUCGAAGAGCUUCAAGUUGUGCCUCAGGAGGAACCGAUCCUUAAUCUUCAAAUAAUCGGCUCCAAGCUUCUUGUUACAACCAGCGACGAGCUUCUUCAGCUCCCGCUCCAUAGAUGUGGAGUAGCAUUGAGCUGUUCAGCUUGUGUUCGGCUCCAGGAUCCAUACUGUGGUUGGAGCAUACUAACCGCUAAAUGCGUGAGUAACACCAAUUUUGAGCCAAUGUACGCUUCAGAGUUUUUGCAAAAUGUAACUUUUGGAAGACAUAGACAAUGUGGAGAUUCCGAGUCCCCAGUUGUUAUAGAACAAUUCAUGGGACCUCAGGGUUCAGUACAACCAGGAGAGAACAGAGAUGUGAGUAUAGAGGUUCCAACUGAUCGUUAUACAACAGAGGAGUUAUGUAUGGCAGUAGCUACCUCAGUCGUCUGUGCUCUUAUACUAGGAUUCAUUGCAGGGUUCCUAGCAGCCAGGUAGCGAUGUCAGUUUGGAGGAGAGAAUCCAUAUCAUGUGCCUUACUUAAAUAGAUCCGGGUAUGAGGAGGAGAACAUUUACGCCAAG
rnacentral:misc_RNA from 1 species